UUGAACGCUGGCGGCAUGCCUUACACAUGCAAGUCGAACGGCAGCACGGGUGCUUGCACCUGGUGGCGAGUGGCGAACGGGUGAGUAAUAUAUCGGAACAUACCUUAUCGUGGGGGAUAACGCAGCGAAAGCUGCGCUAAUACCGCAUACGCCCUGAGGGGGAAAGCGGGGGAUCGCAAGACCUCGCGCGAUUGGAGCGGCCGAUAUCAGAUUAGGUAGUUGGUGGGGUAAAGGCUCACCAAGCCAACGAUCUGUAGCUGGUCUGAGAGGACGACCAGCCACACUGGAACUGAGACACGGUCCAGACUCCUACGGGAGGCAGCAGUGGGGAAUUUUGGACAAUGGACGCAAGUCUGAUCCAGCCAUUCCGCGUGCAGGAUGAAGGCCCUCGGGUUGUAAACUGCUUUUGUACGGAACGAAAAGGUUUCUAUUAAUACUAGGAGCUCAUGACGGUACCGUAAGAAUAAGCACCGGCUAACUACGUG
rnacentral:rRNA from 1 species